UACGUAGGGUGCAAGCGUUGUCCGGAAUUAUUGGGCGUAAAGAGCUCGUAGGCGGCCACUCAAGUCGAAUGUGAAACCUCGAGGCUUAACCUCGAGCCUGCAUUUGAUACUGGGCGGCUAGAGUCUGGUAGGGGGAUCUGGAAUUCCUGGUGUAGCGGUGGAAUGCGCAGAUAUCAGGAGGAACACCGGUGGCGAAGGCGGGAUCCUGGGCCAGUACUGACGCUGAGGAGCGAAAGCGUGGGGAGCAAACAGG
rnacentral:rRNA from 1 species